rnacentral:rRNA from 1 species
UACGGAGGGUGCAAGCGUUAUCCGGAUUCACUGGGUUUAAAGGGUGCGUAGGUGGGCAGGUAAGUCAGUGGUGAAAUCUCUGGGCUUAACUCAGAAACUGCCAUUGAUACUAUCUGUCUUGAAUACCGUGGAGGUCAGCGGAAUAUGUCAUGUAGCGGUGAAAUGCUUAGAUAUGACAUAGAACACCAAUUGCGAAGGCAGCUGGCUACACGAAUAUUGACACUGAGGCACGAAAGCGUGGGGAUCAAACAGG